UGAAUAGAUACUGAAUAACAUUCUUUGCCCCAACCUCGAAAUUGCCCAUUCAAAACACGUAGGAAUGCUAAAAGAUUAUUAUUUUUUCAUUUUUGCCCUCAUUCCCUUCUCCAUUUUCCAAAGCCCUAAAACACCAUUGCUCCUCACCAACUUCUUCAAUCUUUUUCUCAUAGGAAUCGAGAUCAUAAAAAUUUCUUAAUUAAGGGCAAAAUCUUCAGCAAGGAAAAAAUCCAGACUCAAUUGAAGAACACCAGAUCAUAGAAUUGCUAAUCAAUCUCUCAGUACUGAUUCAGAUUUCUUGAACCGAAAGCAAGUAAUUUUCAAAGAAGCUUGUGCAACAUAGGUUAGAUAAAUAGUAGACUUUAACUCAACAUCCUACAAGAAUCCUGUACUCAACAUCGGUGAUGUCCUCUUUUGUGUUUUUGGCAUGUACUUAGGCAUAUUAGUUGAUUAAAAUAUUUCGUCUAUAGAUAAUUUGGAUGAAUGUUACGUGUAUGAUAUAUAACUUAUAAUCUUGGUAAAUGAUAUAGAUAUUUUGAUAUAAUUAUAUUUAUAUUUGUAAA